GUACGCAUGGCGGUUAGUACCUCCACAUGCAUAUCGAACGGCAGCACAAAGGAGCUUGCUCCUUGGGUGGCGAGUGGCGGACGGGUGAGGAAUACAUCGGAAUCUACUUUUUCGUGGGGGAUAACGUAGGGAAACUUACGCUAAUACCGCAUACGACCUACGGGUGAAAGCAGGGGAUCUUCGGACCUUGCGCGAUUGAAUGAGCCGAUGUCGGAUUAGCUAGUUGGCGGGGUAAAGGCCCACCAAGGCGACGAUCCGUAGCUGGUCUGAGAGGAUGAUCAGCCACACUGGAACUGAGACACGGUCCAGACUCCUACGGGAGGCAGCAGUGGGGAAUAUUGGACAAUGGGCGCAAGCCUGAUCCAGCCAUACCGCGUGGGUGAAGAAGGCCUUCGGGUUGUAAAGCCCUUUUGUUGGGAAAGAAAUCCAGCCGGCUAAUACCUGGUUGGGAUGACGGUACCCAAAGAAUAAGCACCGGCUAACUUCGUGCCAGCAGCCGCGGUAAUACGAAGGGUGCAAGCGUUACUCGGAAUUACUGGGCGUAAAGCGUGCGUAGGUGGUUGUUUAAGUCUGUUGUGAAAGCCCUGGGCUCAACCUGGGAACUGCAGUGGAAACUGGACGACUAGAGUGUGGUAGAGGGUAGCGGAAUUCCUGGUGUAGCAUGAAAUGCGUAGAGAUCAGAGAACAUCCAUGGCGAUGCAGCUACCUGGACACACUGACACUGAGGCACGAAGCGUGGGGAGCAACAGAUAGAUACCCUGGUAGUCCCGCCCUAACGAUGCGAACUG
rnacentral:rRNA from 1 species